UCUUCAUCAAAACCCUAGCCACCCAAACCAAGUUCUCUCCCUCUCUCCUCCAUUUUUCUCCACAACACCAUCAAAGGCAUAAUUUUUGAACAAGUUCAAGCAAAAAAUAUUUUAAGUACUUAAGCUAAGGAAGUGACUUCUUGCAUCAAAAUCCCGGAUUUUCAUCAUUUUAAGGUUCUACUUCCAAGAAUAAGGGAAAAGAGGUGUUAGAGGGUUAGUAUUUUGGAGGUCUGCGCUAUUUUUGCCAUUUUAGAUAUUUUAGAAAUUCCUUGCUUGCUUUUGAUGUUAUUAUGUAAGCAAAUGUGAUUUUUAUAUUACCUAUGUCUUGAUCUAUGCUUAAGUUGUAGUCUUUGAGCUUAGUAUGCUUUAUGUGAUAAUUUAUUUUUAGUGUUUAAUCCUAGUCUGAAAAUGUAGGGGUUGUCCCCCCUUUUAUUUUUCAUGGUUUUCAUGUUAUUUUAACAUUAUGGUGGAUACCUUUUAUGAUUUUAUGGUAUAGAUGUAAUAUGAGCUUGUUUGUGCUAAA